GCCUGGCUCAGUGGCACGUGCCUAUAGUCUCAGCUACUAGGGAGGCUGAGGCUGGAGGAUCACUUGAGUCCAGGAGUUCUGGGCUGUAGUGCAUUGUGCCGAUCGGGUGUUCACACUAAAUUCGGCAUCAAUAUGGUGACCUCCUGGGAGAGGGGGACCACCAGGUUGCCUAAGGAGGGGUGAACCGGCCCAGGUUGGAAAUGGAGCAGGUCAAAACUCUCGUGCUGAUCAGUAGUGGGAUCGUGCCUGUGAAUAGCCACUGCCCUCCAGCCUGGGGAACAUAGCAAUACCCUGUCUCU
rnacentral:SRP_RNA from 1 species